rnacentral:rRNA from 1 species
GACGAACUGUUCUAACGUUAUUCGGAAUCACUGGGCUUAAAGGGCGCGUAGGCUGUUUGUUAAGCGGGGUCUGAAAUCCCUCGGCUCAACCGAGGAACUGGGCUUCGAACUGGCAGACUAGAGUGAAGUAGGGGUAAGCGGAACUUGCGGUGGAGCGGUGAAAUGCUUUGAUAUCGCAAGGAACACCGGCGGCGAAGGCGGCUUACUGGGCUUCAACUGACGCUUAAGCGCGAAAGCUAGGGUAGCGAACGGGAUUAGAUACCCGCGGAGUCCCUGAGCGGGCU